AACAGUUGCCUCAUCCUCUAACCAAUCAUACAAGAUUAGUACGUUAAAAUGUUUUUUGCCAAUACUAUCAGCCCAAAACUAGGAUCUCAUACUACUCUCACCACAUGAGACCCUUCUCUACUUGAGAAUAAAUGAUCAUUAGAGUGUCAAGAUAACCCUCAAGACUGAGCUCCUAAUUAAUACAUAGAUUACAGGGAACCAACAUGGAACCUCUCCACGAGAGUUAUGGAACCAUACAUAUUAAUAUGCAAUAUUUCAUUUCAUGCAUAUAUCGUCGUAUUC
rnacentral:lncRNA from 1 species